rnacentral:rRNA from 1 species
UACAGAGGGGGCAAGCGUUGUUCGGAAUUACUGGGCGUAAAGGGCGCGUAGGCGGCCCGCUAAGUCGAACGUGAAAUCCCCGAGCUCAACUCGGGAACUGCGUCCGAUACUGGCGGGCUUGAAUCCGGGAGAGGGAUGCGGAAUUCCAGGUGUAGCGGUGAAAUGCGUAGAUAUCUGGAGGAACACCGGUGGCGAAGGCGGCCUGCUGGGCAGUAGCUGACACUGAGGCGCGACAGCGUGGGGAGCAAACAGG